ACACCUCAACUCCUCAUGGUUUGCCAUGAUGGGCUUGGACUUUGGGGGCUUUGCUGGCUACUAUGGUCGGCUCCUCUCAAACAAAUCAGCUUGCCAGUGUUUGGUGGCGUCACGGGUGUGAUAACUAUCUACGCUUGUGGUCUCCCCACCAGGUAACCUUCAGCAACGGAGGUUCACUGGGGCUCAUAAACGUCUCUCCUCUGUGAGAGACAGCAUUUUGAAC
rnacentral:misc_RNA from 2 species